GGAGAACUCCGCCAUCUUCCUCUGUGCGUGACGAGGCGACUCGGCGGCUCCUAUUACACGGCGGCUUGUUGAAUGAAGUGUGAGUGAAGGCGGUCCGGGUGUAGGCCCAGGGAUGUUGUGGUGGGCACUGUGUCCCUGCGGGUGAAGUGGCUCUCUACUACCCGCUGGGGGGAAAUACAACCUACGGCACACGUGGCAGCGGAUGGAAGCAUGAAUAACUGAGGACCUUUGAAAAAGCACCACUGACUGAAAUAACACAAGAGAAAAGAGAGGGCCUUGACGAGGACCAGCGGCACCGUGGGAGCCUGCGCUUCCUGAGGGCCGCUGUGCUCCACAAUCAGGCCGCCAUCAGUGCUCUUCCUGUGGGAAUCUCAACGAUCCACUUGGAAUGACGGGACACACGCAAGACUGCCGGAGUGCCACAUUCUGCACAGUUUGAGUGAGCAAAGUGGGUCACUGAACACAAGACUUGCUGGACAACUAAGCAGCUAUAAAUAAGUGUCACACACUUUACAAAUAUUAACUAAUAGUAAUUACUAAUAGUGGCAUUACCUGGGAGUACUCACUGUCAACGGGCAGGCAAGUCUACUGUGUGCUUAUACAUUGCAGAGCCAAGGGUGUUGAGACAUCAGGGGCGUGUCGAGCAGUCUGCCUCGGUGCCACAUGGUACCAUACAGCCCAUGUCAUACGGUGACAAAUUACACUGCUCCACCAGCUCAGAGUUCUAAUGCAGACCUGCAGCAACCAACUACUUAAGCAUACAGAUACAGUACAGUAGCAUAGACCUCAUUUAAACAUUCAUAUAGAUCAAGAGGGCAUUAAGAAAAAUCAUCUCUUAGUGGAAUCAAUGUAAGGCAUCAACCAGACAGUUAAAGCCCAAUGAUAUUUCAAAAAUUUAAUAAUUCAUAUUAACUAUGGCAGACAGUACUGGUGCUGACACAGUGUCAACUAAUGCCAUCAUUGAACGCAUCACCACCCAGUGACUGACAUUUCAUGACCUGAAUCUGGGUCACUCAGCCCGGUAUUAAGAGGCUUAAGACUUCUAAUCUAUACAAAAAGUCUAUCUUUGCAAUAAUACAAAAGAGUUUUCCUCAACUUUUAAACUAAUUUGAAAUAUUUCAGACACUUUAGACAGAGAGGACUGUUUCUCCUUCAUAGAUAAAUCAGAUGAUGAAUUUCAUCUUGAAAGAAAACAAUAUUAAGAGACAUGGAAUGUAUCAAGCAUAUUUCUGACAUCUUCAUCUUAUCCCACUCUCCCUUUGUUUGGACCCCUUGGGCUCCACACUCAUGGUUCUGGAAUUUCUCUGGAAAGGUUCCAAGAAAGCUUUUUUUCUGAAACUUGGAGAUUUUGGGCUUUUCCAUAGUUGUGACUGAACCUCCACCCAUUCCCUCACCCCCAGCUGUCAUUAAAGAGCCUGUGUUUUCAGACAUUUUUAAAGCCUCCUCCAGUCCCUUUGACUCCACAACCUGUUGUAUGAAUAGUGAAUGAACAGAACCACAUGGCUAGGUGUGUGUAAGAGGUACUGUAUUUACUGUAUCUUUUAAAAAAUAUUAAAAAAAAGCCAAGAUCCCUCACCACUGAACAACUGCUUGCAUCACGUCUGGGAAUUAAGGACCACAAGAGAGUACUACUUGGUGUAAAUGAUCAACGACAAGUCUGAGCUCAUAGGUGUAUCCAUGUCAAUCAACUUAACAUGUUAGUGAAGAGGACAAGUAAAGUCAACUAAAAGAGGCUGAUAGCUAAGAUCCAUCACCAG